AAGUGGCGCAAGGGUGAGUAACACGUGAAUAAUCUGCCUACAAAUUCGGGAUAACUCGGCGAAAGUUGUGCUAAUACCGGAUAAGACCACACUUCGCAGGGAGGGUGGCCAAAGGAGUCUCAAACUUCGUUUGUAGAUGAGUUCGCGGACCAUUAGCUAGUUGGAGGGAUAAUAGCCCCCCAAGGCUACGAUGGUUAGCCGGCCUGAGAGGGUGAUCGGCCACACUGGAACUGAGACACGGUCCAGACUCC
rnacentral:rRNA from 1 species